UGGAAAAGUAGAGGACGUUUUACCUCUUUAGAUUCCUGUCCUAAGCCUCUUCCUUGGGCUCACUCAAAAAAGAGAACAAGAAGAAGAGGGGUCCAGAGCCUAUCAAUGGUUAAUUGGUAUCAGCUUGAUCAAUGAUGACAUGGAAACUAGCUAAUAGGUAAACAUGAGAGGAAGAAAAGUGGCAGAAAAUGAAGAAAAUCCUUCUGACUCAGGAGAGGAGAGUCAGCCCCUACAAGAGCCCGGGUUGAGCUUAAUCCUGGUGGGAAAAACAGGAACUAGGAAAAGUGCAACUGGAAACAGAAUCCUUGGAAAGAAUGUCUUUGUGUCCAAGCUUGGGGGAAUGCCAAUGACCAGGUUCUGCCACAAAGAAGAGCCAGAGCUUGGGUAGAGAAAUAAUUGAAAUCAUUGAUACUGCUAA